UUUGUGUUUGAGGUAUUCUGAUUGUUUAGCAUGUCCAUUUUAUUCUUUGGAUUAUUUAUUGUUCAUACUUAUCUUAGCAACUUAUGGACACUUUCAAAAGUGAGUUUUCUGCUGCACAUAUUUUGUAAAUUUUGAAAAAUUUAACUCAACCCCCCCCCCCCCAAAAAAAAAAAAACAAAGGAAUUAUUGAGAAUUAUCCAAGGAAGCAUGAUUUGGUAUAAUAGUGCGUCAAUAUUUGAACAUACAAUUUAACUUAGGUUGCUACAUUAAACUAAUGGCCUAAACUUUAGCCUAUGCACACAGAUAUAUCUACCAAUUUGUAAGGUAGAUAGUAUCACUCUAAUACUUUUUUUUUUUAAAUCUCUAAAUACCUCACAGCCAUCAUAUUGAGAGAAAUGCUGCAGUUUGAGGAAGCAUGGAGCAGGAAGAAUAUUCUUUUUGACAAAAAAAUCUGUAAACAUUAGAUUCCAAUUUUGAUUAUUUUAUGAAUAAUAAUUUUAAGAUUAAAAAUAUUUUACUAUUUAAUUAUUAUAGAUUGGAUUUAUAUUAAAAUUUAUUAUUUUUUUAAGUUCAAGUCUUCCUAGAACUUUAGCAUUAUUUUUUAUAUAUUUAUUUAUUUUAAAUAAAGGAUCCAUGUAUUGCACAUGCCACAUUGUAAUUAGAAUCGGAGAUAUUAGAACUAAGAUUUUUCGCAUGCCUUUCAUAUUGGAUUGGGGAAGCAUAGUAUGGAGAGUAUUAUUUUUUGACAAAAAAUCUAAAAGCCUCGGAUUCUAAUUUUGAUUAUUUUAAUUAAGAUAGUUUUCAGAUUAAGAUAUUUUAUUAUUUAAUCAUUAUAUAUCAUGUUUGUAUUAGAAAUAUCAUAACUAUUUUAUUACAUUUGUCUAUCAAAAAUUUAAGUCCUACAAGAAAACUUCUCUAACUUUUUUUUUGCAUUAUUAAUAUCCAGAGCAACAAAUUUUGUACUAUUUUCUAUAAGAGUUCGAGUCGAGUGAAUUUGAGGAAUUGCUUCCUUCUUCUCUCUUUAUUCGAAUCAUAGAAUAGCAAUACCACUAAAAUUCUCUUACCAAGAAUUCCAUUCAUGGAAUUGUGCCACCCAUUCUCGAGCUCUCAAUCCCACCACCCAAACAGGGGCUAUAGGGGAAGGAACUGAGAAAUUGGAUUUUAUGGGAUGAGAGUGGUUUAGCUCUGUUGCCAAAUGGAAACUGAAUAAUGCUUAGAACCCUCCUACAAUACAUUGCAUACUUUUGAGAUUUAUGCCCAUCUUUUUUAUUGUUUUUUUUUUUUUUUUUGUCUGAAAGCGGAUGUUUCAUAUAGUGCGUAUACGGAUACACCUAAAAAAGUCAAAAUACAACAAUUCGCAGAGUGCUAGUGGCAGCUCUCCCUCCCCUGACCAAAGAUUGUACCCUGAGUGGUGGGCCGCUAUCCAGUCGGCCGCCCCAUUGGCUUUUCUAAAUACAUGCUUGGCCUGAAAGACCCUCCCAUCUGUCAUCAUCAUCCCUAUGUUACGGAUUAAGGGGUGGUCUGUGCCGUCACCCCUCGACCCCCUCUAAAUCCACCCGAUAACCGUAGCCAUCUUUAUGUAUUCAAUGAUGCAUUUGGAAAGCAUUUCAAAUCUCAAAGGCCACCAUGUAUUAAAUUUUCAGCGAGAAGUCUAUCUUUGGAUCGUUAUCAUUAUCAUCACCUUUAAAUAAGCACCCCUAAACUAGUGGAGAUCAUGCUCAAAUAGGCACGGUUUCUCCGAUGGAUUUUGCUGUCAAUAUGCGAGCAUGGCAAUACGGGAGGCCGGCUUAAGUUGGCAUGAUUAGAACUAGAACACAUGAUUUAUCUCAGUAAGCGACUAAUGAGGUUUUUUUGGUUCAAUAAGAGUGACUAAAGCAUGGUUCCGCAAUGACAGAUCAUAGACAUGAUAUGGGUGUUACUAAUCAUGGUUCGGCACAGUUCGAGUACAGCACCAAAAAUUUCUGCUGUGGUUUAUUCCAACUCCAUAGCGACAUGUUUGGCGUUCAGAAACAAUUUGGAUAUUUCAAAUUGAGAACAAAAAUAUAACUUCAUCAAAAGUUUGAAAAACUCAAAUAAUUAUAUAUAUAAAAAAGAAAAUAAUGGACAUUAGAUUUUUAAAAAAUUGGCAUAUUUACUCAUGAAAAUUAGCAUAAAAAUGAAGAAUAAAUCCAUGUCCACCUCAUGAUUGAAUAGAUCUGAACGGAUUUGUUUAUUGAGAAUAUUUCAAAGAAUCAUUUGGAGAAGGAAAAGCUUGAAAAAAGCUGGGUCUUUUCGGCCACUCAAGAGAAUAUUGCUUCUGUUGUCCAUUCCUAUCCUGAGUUACCCAUAAUUCUCAUGUUACUUGCCACAUGGUUGGCUCAGACAAGAUUUCAUCGCCUACAUAAAGAGUUCUUUGAUAUACUUAGGAACAUAUGUUGCCCCAAAUAAGUAAUAGAGAGAGAAAAAGAGAGAAGCUAAGACAAGGGAGAGGCAUCAAAUCAAUAAUGGUCAGACAACCAUCUGCAAGUUCCUUCUGUAAUAUAGUGGAGAGAUCCACAGAGUUGCAAGGAAAAAGGAAGCAUGGAGAUCCCAAAUUUCAAUGUGCAACAGAAAAUAGUCAACAACAAUAUGAAGCCACUGUUUUGUUUGUUUCUUGAAUUUGUUUUAUUUAGUCUUUUAAUACUGCACCCUCACUGUUAUAUAUACAAGUAACAGAAUUAGAACAAACUCCAAUGGAGGAAAAAAAAAGAAAAAAAAGAGAAGAAAAGUAUAUAAUGCACACAGCUCCAUUGAGUUAACAGCUCCCAAGUGCUUCCAAAAUGCUAAAAAAGGAUUGGCAGAGAUCACUGGAGCUGUUAAAAACUGGGAGGAAAAACACUUCUAGUUAAGUACCUUUUCUUGGAUCAUCAACAUAUCCAUCCACAGGUCGUAUGAGUUAUUAUACCGGGUAAUGUUUAUCUAACACCAGUAAAAAAGGACCCAUAUCAUUCACCUUUAUUUUUUUCUGGUUUCACUAAUUUCUUCUCGCAAAGACAACCUUUGGGCUUGCCUGAAGCUGAAGAAGGCAAUCAUGCACUGUGGGCUUGGAGUUGUUCUCAAAAUCAGGCUUAAGUCUCAUCUGCAAUGUAAACAUUUAUUUAUGUUUGAUGAGUUUAACAAAUACAGUACAACUUUGCCAAAGUUGAAUAUGAUAUUGUAAUUCAUUACAAGGUAUGAUUUUAGCCGAUGGAAAGAACUAGUUGAAUGUAAAAAGAAAUUAUUCGUGAAUCACCUCUUGAUCUCAAGUCCCCUUUUUUUACAGCUAAAGGUACUCAGCAACAUGUCAUGCGCUAAUUAACUUAAAGAGGAGUAUUUUCAAUCAGGUAAACAACAAAAGCCAAUUAUGCCUCAUGCUCUUUUAAGCAUCGAUUUCAUGCCACAUGCAUAAAUAAUCAAACAUGUUAUGCAUUUCUACAUAUAAACACACCAAAAUGACGAAAAAACGCUAGUUGCAGCAUGCAAUUAUCAAAAGAAAGAAAAGAAAGAUUACUAACACAUGGUAUAUAUGAAACAUAGUUUGUUUUUGAUUUUGAACUGAUAACAUUACAAAUCUGUACCGAUUUCGGUCACAAUACAUGCAGUGCUUGUUGCUGCAAAAAAAGAAUUAAAAAAUGCAUUGAUGUAUGUAAUCCAUUCUUUGUUAUUAAAAUCUGAGAUGUCCCUCCAAAAAUUAAUCUAAAAUCACAAGCAAAGUUUCAAAUAUCGUGCAAUUUGGUCACGUACUGCUUGCUGGCAGGUACAGAGUGUUAGGUGAGGACCCAAUGACGACUUAGUUUUUCACUCUCGAACUCAAGUCGAAUAAAUCUAGACAUAUGUCGGACGACGGGGUUUGACGAGUUAUCCAUGACCUCCGGUCUGUAGGAAUCCAUGAUAGAAAUACUGUAUCAUACGAUAACUGCACCUACAGGUUCAUCAUUCUACUCUGCUGGGUAGCCACUACAUACUGCUAGGUGUCACUGGUGGAUGGUGAGACUCACAGGGACCAUUCUGAUGGUCGAUGAUCCCUGGUGAAAUCACAAAGGGGAUAAAGAUGAGCUCCUAUUUUGAAUUCACAAAGGGAUAAAGAUGAGCUCCUAAAAUUUAGGAGCUCAUCUCUAUCCCCACACCAUAAAAGAGGGGUUCAAAGGGGCUACGAAUUUUUCAUGGUUUUUCCUUGGGAUUUUUGGCAGCAAGGAACCUCCUUCCAUCCCUCCUUUCAGCCACA
rnacentral:lncRNA from 1 species